AACGCUGGCGGCAUGUUAACACAUGCAAGUCGAACGAUGAUCCGGUGCUUGCACCGGGGAUUAGUGGCGAACGGGUGAGUAACACGUGAGUAACCUGCCCUUAACUCUGGGAUAAGCCUGGGAAACUGGGUCUAAUACCGGAUAUGACUCCUCAUCGCAUGGUGGGGGGUGGAAAGCUUUAUUGUGGUUUUGGAUGGACUCGCGGCCUAUCCGCUUGUUGGUGAGGUAAUGGCUCACCAAGGCGACGACGGGUAGCCGGCCUGAGAGGGUGACCGGCCACACUGGGACUGAGACACGGCCCAGACUCCUACGGGAGGCAGCAGUGGGGAAUAUUGCACAAUGGGCGCAAGCCUGAUGCAGCGACGCCGCGUGAGGGAUGACGGCCUUCGGGUUGUAAACCUCUUUCAGUAGGGAAGAAGCGAAAGUGACGGUACCUGCAGAAGAAGCGCCGG
rnacentral:rRNA from 1 species